UCUGGUGAUUAUGGCUUGAAGGUAACACCCGUUUCCAUGCCGAACACGAAGGUUAAGCUUCAAAGCGCCGAUGGUACUGCAGGGGAGGCUCUGUGGGAGAGUAGGUCGUUGCCAGAU
rnacentral:rRNA from 1 species